GCUAGCCCUCUUCACCGGGGUUGAAGAUGAAGCUGUUUUAUUCUGUAAGGUUUAAGUGCAUUAAAAGUGGAAAUAAAAUUUGACUGCCAAAAAUUUUUAAAAAAUAAAGCUCUAUGGACUAAAAUGUGGAAUUCUACUGGAGAAAUGAAGUGAUUUGAUGGGUUAAGAUCAAAAGGAAACAUGAAGAAUGAUUGAGCCAGUUAUCUGGAUAUGGGCCUGAGUAGAAAUGUUCCACGACCUGUGUAAAAAUGUUCCACAAAAUGUGCAGAAGUGUGCCACGGCAUGUGGAGACCAUGUGCAAGAUAUCAAUUAUGAUAAAGGAUUUUGAAGAUGAAGAAAAUAUUUCUUUAUGAUGUGAAGUAAUGGAAUAUAUGAAGAUUUGGGAAAGAAUAUUAUUUUUUAUGGUUGGAAAUAAUAAUUAAGAUAUUGAUUACAGUAUUUGGCACAUGGCACAUUUUGAUUAGAGAAUUUUUAUAUUAUUUGACACGUGGCAUACUUUCAUUGGAUGAUGAUGUGGUAGUGGUUUCCUCUGAAAAAUAUAAAUACUGGUUGAAGCAGAUGGAAAAUAGGAGGUUGGACGGCCUAGAGCCAACAAUAGUUUUUAGAAUUUAUUUACUAUUUCUUCUUUUUAAUUCUUUUGUAAUGGAAAGCUAGCCUUCUUCACCGGGGUGAAGAUGAAGCCGUUUUAUUCUGUAAGGUAUUCUAUUAAUCUCUAAUAAAGUAUUUCUUUUGGGUUUAAAUGUUAAAUUAAUCUCUCUUCAUUAAGUUUCGUUCUUAAACCAUUUUGGAUAGUCUUCGGCUAUUGAUCUUUAAUAUGCGAAGGAGAUUAUACCGUUUUGGUACAACAAAAGUUGUAAUUAUUAUUUUAAUCAUAAUAUAUUUCGAGGCAUGAGAUUGGUUUCAAUAUUGUCUUGAGUGAUAAUAAUAAAAAAUUAUAGAGAUUAAACGGGUCUUUUACAUGAUUAA